ensembl:antisense Gm26826 predicted gene, 26826
GUCAGUUGGAGAUCUGAGUGGAGGGGCUCUGCCCCGGUCCACUGUCUAGGUGCACGGAAGUUGAGGGGCGAGGUCUUCUACUCUCCAGCAAACUGGAACCAAUUCCUGGCGGUUCCCUGGAGGGUCCUGGCUUGUGCGUAUCAGGACGCCUCUCCGCGGUGCUCCCAGAGUGCAGAAGAGAGCAUUAGACUCCCUGGAGCUGGAGUUUCAGAUGCUGUGAGCCUCCUUGGAUGCUGUGAAGUAAAUGCAGGUCCUUUGGAAAAACAGUACUUCCUUCUAACCACACAGCCAUCUCUCCAGGCCCUGCAACUCUUCAUAUGUAAUUAACAUAUCACAGAUACAUUUUACAAGCCUUUUCCUUUUCUUCUUUUUGAAAAGAAUUUUCCUAUAGCCUACACUGACCUUGAACUUAAUUAUAUAGUACAGGAUGACUUUGAACUCCUGAUCAAAUGGUCACUUUUAAAGACAAUGUAUCCCAUGGAAUAUGAUAAAAGUUUGUAUACGCAAGCAUCAGCUUCAAAACAUAAUAACUAAAUUGAUCACUGCUUUUGUGAUUGUUUUCCUAUGCAGUCUCCUCAUCAGAAAUAGAGGGAUAAUAAUACAUAUUUCAUAGUUUUCAGAAGGCUUGCAUGACUUCAUCUAUGUAAUGCCCUUAGAUUAGAGGAGUGGGCUAGAGAGAAAAGGGGCUUAAAAGACUCAACAGUCAAUUGAAUUACUAUGGAUCAAGAGAUAUGUCCAUAAAAUACGGGAUACAAACCUUUAAGGGGAAUCCUGAUUGGAAUAGGGCAAUUGGGAAAAAAUACUAUAAGGCAAAUGGCAAAGUUUCAAUAUUCACUUGGUAGUACCAAGAAUUCAAAUUUCUUCUGAGUCUCACUAUGUAGCCCUGACUGGCAUUAAACCCACAGGCCUGCCUCUGCCUCCCAAAUGCAGUCAGUAGAGAGAUGUGUUCCAUCACAUGCUGCUUAGAAUCAAGAUUUCUUACAUUUUUAGAUAUGAAAGGGAGCCAAGCAUAGUAACAUAUACUUGUAACCCCAGCACUCAGGAGGUAAAGACAAGAGGACCCGUAGUUUAAGAUUAUUCUCAGCUGUGUAGGUAGUAAAUUAAAAACCAGCCUGUCUCAAAAAAAAACAAAAACAAAAACAAAAACCUAGAUAAAUAAUUAUUCAUGGGGCUGAAGAGAUGACUCAGCGAUUUAAGAGCACAUGCCUUCCUAGAGGACCUGAGCUCCAGUCCCAGUGCCCAUGUUGGACAACCAGGGGAUGUGGCACUUCUGAACACCUGCACUCACACGCACAAACACAUACACGUAAUUUAAAAUAAAAUAGGUCUUAUAAACAAUGGGGGGGGGGGCAUCUUCUUGGAGACAAGUGGGAGGAGGAAUGGGAUGGAAAAAAG